GGCAAUAGUGCAUUCGGGUGCCGAAAUGCACCCGUUUUGCAUCAUUUUUCGUGCCGGAACCGAAUGCCCAAAAACACUCCCAAACAUGUUCUAGUGUAUAUUUAGGAAGAUUGCAUGCGUUCGUUGCGAAAAAAUCCACCCGAGUUUCGCUACCCGGCAAUAGUGCAUUCGGGUGCCGAAAUGCACCCGUUUUGCAUCAUUUUUCGUGCCGGAACCGAAUGCCCAAAAAUACUCCCAAACAUGUUCUAGUGUAUAUUUAGGAAGAUUGCAUGCGUUCGUUGCGAAAAAAUCCACCCGAGUUUCGCUACCUGGCAAUAGUGCAGUCGGGUGCCGAAAUGCACCCGUUUUGCAUCAUUUUUCGUGCCGGAACCGAAUGCCCAAAAACACUCCCAAACAUGUUCUAGGGUCUAAUUAGGUAGAUUGGAUGCGUUCGUUGCGAAAAAAUCCACCCGAGUUUCGCUACCCGGCAAUAGUGCAUUCGGGUGCCGAAAUGCACCCGUUUUGCAUCAUUUUUCGUGCCGGAACCGAAUGCCCAAAAACACUCCAAAAUAUGUUCUAGUGUAUAUUUAGGAAGAUUUGAUGCGUUCGUUGCGAAAAAAUCCACCCGAGUAUCGCUACCCGGCAAUAGUGCAUUCGAGUGCCGAAAUGCACCCGUUUUGCAUCAUUUUUCGUGCCGGAACCGAAUGCCCAAAAACACUCCCAAACAUGUUCUAGUGUAUAUUUAGGAAGAUUGGAUGCGUUCGUUGCGAAAAAAUCCACCCGAGUUUCGCUACCCGGCAAUAGUGCAUUCGGGUGCCGAAAUGCACCCGUUUUGCAUCAUUUUUCGUGCCGGAACCGAAUGCCCAAAAACACUCCCAAACCUGUUCUAGUGUAUAUUUAGGAAGAUUGGAUGCGUUCGUUGCGAAAAAAUCCACCCGAGUUUCGCUACCCGGCAAUAGUGCAUUCGGGUGCCGAAAUGCACCCUUUUGCAUCGUUUUUCGUGCCGGAACCGAAUGCCCAAAAACACUCCCAAACCUGUUCUAGUGUAUAUUUAGGAAGAUUGCAUGCGUUCGUUGCGAAAAAAUCCACCCGAGUUUCGCUACCCGGCAAUAGUGCAUUCGAGUGCCGAAAUGCACCCGUUUUGCAUCGUUUUUCGUGCCGGAACCGAAUGCCCAAAAACACUCCCAAACAUGUUCUAGUGUAUAUUUAGGAAGAUUGGAUGCGUUCGUUGCGAAAAAAUCCACCCGAGUUUUGCUACCCGGCAAUAGUGCAUUCGGGUGCCGAAAUGCACCUGUUUUGCAUCGUUUUUCGUGCCGGAACCGAAUGCCCAAAAACACUCCCAAACAUGUUCUAGGGUCUAAUUAGGUAGAUUGGAUGCGUUCGUUGCGAAAAAAUCCACCCGAGUUUCGCUACCCGGCAAUAGUGCAUUCGGGUGCCGAAAUGCACCCGUUUUGCAUCAUUUUUCGUGCCGGAACCGAAUGCCCAAAAACACUCCCAAACAUGUUCUAGUGUAUAUUUAGGAAGAUUGCAUGCGUUCGUUGCGAAAAAAUCCACCCGAGUUUCGCUACCCGGCAAUAGUGCAUUCGGGUGCCGAAAUGCACCCGUUUUGCAUCAUUUUUCGUGCCGGAACCGAAUGCCCAAAAAUACUCCCAAACAUGUUCUAGUGUAUAUUUAGGAAGAUUGCAUGCGUUCGUUGCGAAUAAAUCCACCCGAGUUUCGCUACCUGGCAAUAGUGCAGUCGGGUGCCGAAAUGCACCCGUUUUGCAUCAUUUUUCGUGCCGGAACCGAAUGCCCAAAAACACUCCCAAACAUGUUCUAGGGUCUAAUUAGGUAGAUUGGAUGCGUUCGUUGCGAAAAAAUCCACCCGAGUUUCGCUACCCGGCAAUAGUGCAUUCGGGUGCCGAAAUGCACCCGUUUUGCAUCAUUUUUCGUGCCGGAACCGAAUGCCCAAAAACACUCCCAAACAUGUUCUAGUGUAUAUUUAGGAAGAUUGCAUGCGUUCGUUGCGAAAAAAUCCACCCGAGUAUCGCUACCCGGCAAUAGUGCAUUCGAGUGCCGAAAUGCACCCGUUUUGCAUCAUUUUUCGUGCCGGAACCGAAUGCCAAAAAACACUCCCAAACAUGUUCUAGGGUCUAAUUAGGUAGAUUGGAUGCGUUCGUUGCGAAAAAAUCCAGCCGAGUUUUGCUACCCGGCAAUAGUGCAUUCGGGUGCCGAAAUGCACCCGUUUUGCAUCGUUUUUCGUGCCGGAACCGAAUGCCCAAAAACACUCCCAAACAUGUUCUAGUGUAUAUUUAGGAAGAUUGGAUGCGUUCGUUGCGAAAAAAUCCACGCGAGUUUCGCUACCCGGCAAUAGUGCAUUCGGGUGCCGAAAUGCACCCGUUUUGCAUCGUUUUUCGUGCCGGAACCGAAUGCCCAAAAACACUCCCAGACAUGUUCUAGGGUCUAAUUAGGUAGAUUGGAUGCGUUCGUUGCGAAAAAAUCCACCCGAGUUUCGCUACCCGGCAAUAGUGCAUUCGGGUGCCGAAAUGCACCCGUUUUGCAUCGUUUUUCGUGCCGGAACCGAAUGCCCAAAAACACUCCCAAACAUGUUCUAGUGUCUAAUUAGGUAGAUUGGAUGCCUUCGUUGCGAAAAAAUCCACCCGAGUUUCGCUACCCGGCAAUAGUGCAUUCGGGUGCCGAAAUGCACCUGUUUUGCAUCAUUUUUCGUGCCGGAACCAAAUGCCCAAAAACACUCCCAAACAUGUUCUAGUGUAUAUUUAGGAAGAUUGCAUGCGUUCGUUGCGAAAAAAUCCACCCGAGUUUCGCUACCCGGCAAUAGUGCAUUCGGGUGCCGAAAUGCACCCGUUUUGCAUCAUUUUUCGUGCCGGAACCGAAUGCCCAAAAACACUCCCAAACAUGUUCUAGUGUAUAUUUAGGAAGAUUGCAUGCGUUCGUUGCGAAAAAAUCCACCCGAGUUUCGCUACCCGGCAAUAGUGCAUUCGGGUGCCGAAAUGCACCCGUUUUGCAUCAUUUUUCGUGCCGGAACCGAAUGCCCAAAAAUACUCCCAAACAUGUUCUAGUGUAUAUUUAGGAAGAUUGCAUGCGUUCGUUGCGAAUAAAUCCACCCGAGUUUCGCUACCCUGGCAAUAGUGCAGUCGGGUGCCGAAAUGCACCCGUUUUGCAUCAUUUUUCGUGCCGGAACCGAAUGCCCAAAAACACUCCCAAACAUGUUCUAGGGUCUAAUUAGGUAGAUUGGAUGCGUUCGUUGCGAAAAAAUCCACCCGAGUUUCGCUACCCGGCAAUAGUGCAUUCGGGUGCCGAAAUGCACCCGUUUUGCAUCAUUUUUCGUGCCGGAACCGAAUGCCCAAAAACACUCCCAAACAUGUUCUAGUGUAUAUUUAGGAAGAUUGCAUGCGUUCGUUGCGAAAAAAUCCACCCGAGUAUCGCUACCCGGCAAUAGUGCAUUCGAGUGCCGAAAUGCACCCGUUUUGCAUCAUUUUUCGUGCCGGAACCGAAUGCCAAAAAACACUCCCAAACAUGUUCUAGGGUCUAAUUAGGUAGAUUGGAUGCGUUCGUUGCGAAAAAAUCCAGCCGAGUUUUGCUACCCGGCAAUAGUGCAUUCGGGUGCCGAAAUGCACCCGUUUUGCAUCGUUUUUCGUGCCGGAACCGAAUGCCCAAAAACACUCCCAAACAUGUUCUAGUGUAUAUUUAGGAAGAUUGGAUGCGUUCGUUGCGAAAAAAUCCACGCGAGUUUCGCUACCCGGCAAUAGUGCAUUCGGGUGCCGAAAUGCACCCGUUUUGCAUCGUUUUUCGUGCCGGAACCGAAUGCCCAAAAACACUCCCAGACAUGUUCUAGGGUCUAAUUAGGUAGAUUGGAUGCGUUCGUUGCGAAAAAAUCCACCCGAGUUUCGCUACCCGGCAAUAGUGCAUUCGGGUGCCGAAAUGCACCCGUUUUGCAUCGUUUUUCGUGCCGGAACCGAAUGCCCAAAAACACUCCCAAACAUGUUCUAGUGUCUAAUUAGGUAGAUUGGAUGCCUUCGUUGCGAAAAAAUCCACCCGAGUUUCGCUACCCGGCAAUAGUGCAUUCGGGUGCCGAAAUGCACCUGUUUUGCAUCAUUUUUCGUGCCGGAACCAAAUGCCCAAAAACACUCCCAAACAUGUUCUAGUGUAUAUUUAGGAAGAUUGCAUGCGUUCGUUGCGAAAAAAUCCACCCGAGUUUCGCUACCCGGCAAUAGUGCAUUCGGGUGCCGAAAUGCACCCGUUUUGCAUCAUUUUUCGUGCCGGAACCGAAUGCCCAAAAACACUCCAAAAUAUGUUCUAGUGUAUAUUUAGGAAGAUUUGAUGCGUUCGUUGCGAAAAAAUCCACCCGAGUAUCGCUACCCGGCAAUAGUGCAUUCGAGUGCCGAAAUGCACCCGUUUUGCAUCAUUUUUCGUGCCGGAACCGAAUGCCCAAAAACACUCCCAAACAUGUUCUAGGGUCUAAUUAGGUAGAUUGGAUGCGUUCGUUGCGAAAAAAUCCAGCCGAGUUUUGCUACCCGGCAAUAGUGCAUUCGGGUGCCGAAAUGCACCCGUUUUGCAUCGUUUUUCGUGCCGGAACCGAAUUCCCAAAAACACUCCCAAACAUGUUCUAGUGUAUAUUUAGGAAGAUUGGAUGCGUUCGUUGCGAAAAAAUCCACGCGAGUUUCGCUACCCGGCAAUAGUGCAUUCGGGUGCCGAAAUGCACCCGUUUUGCAUCGUUUUUCGUGCCGGAACCGAAUGCCCAAAAACACUCCCAGACAUGUUCUAGGGUCUAAUUAGGUAGAUUGGAUGCGUUCGUUGCGAAAAAAUCCACCCGAGUUUCGCUACCCGGCAAUAGUGCAUUCGGGUGCCGAAAUGCACCCGUUUUGCAUCGUUUUUCGUGCCGGAACCGAAUGCCCAAAAACACUCCCAAACAUGUUCUAGGGUCUAAUUAGGUAGAUUGGAUGCGUUCGUUGCGAAAAAAUCCACCCGAGUUUCGCUACCCGGCAAUAGUGCAUUCGGGUGCCGAAAUGCACCUGUUUUGCAUCAUUUUUCGUGCCGGAACCAAAUGCCCAAAAACACUCCCAAACAUGUUCUAGUGUAUAUUUAGGAAGAUUGCAUGCGUUCGUUGCGAAAAAAUCCACCCGAGUUUCGCUACCCGGCAAUAGUGCAUUCGGGUGCCGAAAUACACCCGUUUUGCAUCAUUUUUCGUGCCGGAACCGAAUGCCCAAAAACACUCCCAAACAUGUUCUAGGGUCUAAUUAGGUAGAUUGGAUGCGUUCGUUGCGAAAAAAUCCACCCGAGUUUCGCUACCCGGCAAUAGUGCAAUCGGGUGCCGAAAUGCACCCGUUUUGCAUCGUUUUUCGUGCCGGAACCGAAUGCCCAAAAAUACUCCCAAACAUGUUCUAGUGUAUAUUUAGGAAGAUUGGAUGCGUUCGUUGCGAAAAAAUCCACCCAAGUUUCGCUACCCGGCAAUAGUGCAUUCGGGUGCCGAAAUGCACCCGUUUUGCAUCGUUUUUCGUGCCGGAACCGAAUGCCCAAAAACACUCCCAAACAUGUUCUAGUGUAUAUUUAGGAAGAUUGCAUACGUUCGUUGCGAAAAAAUCCACCCGAGUUUCGCUACCCGGCAAUAGUGCAUUCGGGUGCCGAAAUGCACCCGUUUUGCAUCGUUUUUCGUGCCGGAACCGAAUGCCCAAAAACACUCCCAAACAUGUUCUAGGGUCUAAUUAGGUAGAUUGGAUGCGCUCGUUGCGAAAAAAUCCACCCGAGUUUCGCUACCCGGCAAUAGUGCAAUCGGGUGCCGAAAUGCACUCGUUUUGCAUCGUUUUUCGUGCCGGAACCGAAUGCCCAAAAACACUCCCAAACAUGUUCUAGGGUCUAAUUAGGUAGAUUGGAUGCGUUCGUUGCGAAAAAAUCCACCCGAGUUUCGCUACCCGGCAAUAGUGCAUUCGGGUGCCGAAAUGCACCCGUUUUGCAUCAUUUUUCGUGCCGGAAACGAAUGCCCAAAAACACUCCCAAACAUGUUCUAGUGUAUAUUUAGGAAGAUUGCAUGCGUUCGUUGCGAAAAAAUCCACCCGAGAUUCGCUACCCUGGCAAUAGUGCAGUCGGGUGCCGAAAUGCACCCGUUUUGCGUCAUUUUUCGUGCCGGAACCGAAUGCCCAAAAACACUCCCAAACAUGUUCUAGGGUCUAAUUAGGUAGAUUGGAUGCGUUCGUUGCGAAAAAAUCCACCCGAGUUUCGCUACCCGGCAAUAGUACAUUCGGGUGCCGAAAUGCACCCGUUUUGCAUCGUUUUUCGUGCCGGAACCGAAUGCCCAAAAAUACUCCCAAACAUGUUCUAGUGUAUAUUUAGGAAGAUUGGAUGCGUUCGUUGCGAAAAAAUCCACCCAAGUUUCGCUACCCGGCAAUAGUGCAUUCGGGUGCCGAAAUGCACCCGUUUUGCAUCGUUUUUCGUGCCGGAACCGAAUGCCCAAAAACACUCCCAAACAUGUUCUAGUGUAUAUUUAGGAAGAUUGCAUACGUUCGUUGCGAAAAAAUCCACCCGAGUUUCGCUACCCGGCAAUAGUGCAUUCGGGUGCCGAAAUGCACCUGUUUUGCAUCGUUUUUCGUGCCGGAACCGAAUGCCCAAAAACACUCCCAAACAUGUUCUAGGGUCUAAUUAGGUAGAUUGGAUGCGUUCGUUGCGAAAAAAUCCACCCGAGUUUCGCUACCCGGCAAUAGUGCAUUCGGGUGCCGAAAUGCACCCGUUUUGCAUCAUUUUUCGUGCCGGAACCGAAUGCCUAAAAACACUCCCAAACAUGUUCUAGUGUAUAUUUAGGAAGAUUGCAUGCGUUCGUUGCGAAAAAAUCCACCUGAGUUUCGCUACCCGGCAAUAGUGCAUUCGGGUGCCGAAAUGCACCCGUUUUGCAUCAUUUUUCGUGCCGGAACCGAAUGCCUAAAAACACUCCCAAACAUGUUCUAGGGUCUAAUUAGGUAGAUUGGAUGCGUUCAUUGCGAAAAAAUCCACCCGAGUUUCGCUACCCGGCAAUAGUGCAUUCGGGUGCCGAAAUGCACCCGUUUUGCAUCAUUUUUCGUGCCGGAACCGAAUGCCUAAAAACACUCCCAAACAUGUUCUAGGGUCUAAUUAGGAAGAUUGCAUGCGUUCGUUGCGAAAAAAUCCACCCGAGUUUCGCUACCCUGGCAAUAGUGCAGUCGGGUGCCGAAAUGCACCCGUUUUGCAUCAUUUUUCGUGCCGGAACCGAAUGCCCA
rnacentral:lncRNA from 1 species